GAUGAACGCUGGCGGCGUGCUUAACACAUGCAAGUCGAACGAAGCAUUACUUUUGAAAGAACUUAGCUUGCUAAGAGCGGACAUGUGUAAUGACUGAGUGGCGGACGGGUGAGUAACGCGUGAGCAACCUGCCUUAUACAGGGGGAUAACAGUUGGAAACGACUGCUAAUACCGCAUAAGCACACAGUACUGCAUGGUACGGUGUGAAAAACUCCGGUGGUAUAAGAUGGACUCGCGUCUGAUUAGCUAGUUGGUGAGGUAAAGGCCCACCAAGGCAACGAUCAGUAGCCGGCCUGAGAGGGUGACCGGCCACAUUGGGACUGAGACACGGCCCAGACUCCUACGGGAGGCAGCAGUGAGGAAUAUUGGUCAAUGGGCGAGAGCCUGAACCAGCCAAGUAGCGUGAGGGAUGACUGCCCUAUGGGUUGUAAACCUCUUUUAUAUGGGAAUAACAGGCACUACGUGUAGUGUUUUGCAUGUACCAUUAUGAAUAAGCAUCGGCUAACUCCGUGCCAGCAGCCGCCGUAAGAC
rnacentral:rRNA from 1 species